CAGACGGAUACCGGAAACACUUGAAAGCGUCGUGAGGUCCAUCAACGUCUUCACGACACCCAUUCACAGUGACCAGGACGCUUUGGCUCGUGGCCCGUCGCCGUCAUUUCCAGCUCAUUUUAUUUUUCAUUUUUUCCCCUCGCCUUGAACUGCAUCGGGCCGGGCGAAUGCCGAAUAGUGCAGCCGCGGGACACGGCGGGAGACAGGAGGGAGGUGCUAUAAAACCGGCGCUCGGCCGGGAUCAGGGCUUCACAGUCAUUAGUUCUAGUGGUCCACGUGCUCCGUUCCCGAAAUCAGUUCGUCGACCUCUGACUCCAUUGCACCUCCGUCAAGAUGAACAAAGUAGUUCUGACCCUGUUUUUCGCAUUGCUGUUGACGCUGGCAACGGCAUCCCUCGGUGACAAUAUUCCCAGCCAAAUGGGCAAAGAAGUCCAGAUCGAUCAAGGCGGACUUCCACCCGGCGACGGACACCACCCCGGCGACGGACACGAUCACUCCAGCCACGGACACAACCACGGGGACGGACACCAUCCCGGCGACGGACACAAUCACUAAUGCAAACAACUCCAAUUACAAAGCUGCUCAUAUUGAAAUCAUUGGCGGAUCCAUCAAAGUGGCAACAUUGUUUGUUCUCCGUUUAAACCCAUGGAAAUAUAUCGAUUCUUGAAGGGUCCAAGCACUCCGACAGGAAUCGAUUAUUAAACAUAGGAUUAAAUGUAGGAAAUCCUGUGUUGCCAAAUGGCUGGAUCCGCCCCUGAUUAAAUUAAGCUAAGAUUUAAGACGAGCUUUUCAAGUCUGGCCUGUCGAAAGACCAUCUUCAUCAACCGAUUUUCACUUGUGAUGCAUCAUCAUUUGGACAACAUUUUGCAAUUUGGAGCUAUAAACUCUAACCCGGUUUGAAAACAACGUAUGUGCCAUUAGAUUCCCUAUGCAUGUACGUGUUUCCCAGAAGAGUCAGCAUUUAUAGUUCCAAAUUGCAAAAUGCAGUACUUUUGGGCUACUUUUUCCAAUAUGUGUAAACACUUAUGUGCGUAGGAAAACCAAUGGUAUAUACGCUAUUUUUAAAGUGGCCAGAUACUGCAGUUCCCAAUUUCAAAAUGUAGCUCAUUUUACCACCUGAUUUUCCCGGCAAAGUCAACCACUGAGGUGUGUAGAUUUCUAAAUACAUGGGAAAUGACCAUUUUCAGUUCUUGAUUCGCUUCGAAUACGCUUCUCUGCGCUUUAGUGAAAUACAGAAUUUCAAAGAAAGUACCUAGUUGUGUUUGAUUCAUUUACACCUUUCCUUGCAGCGGACUUACUUUUAAAACUGGUAGAAAAAGUUUCAGACGAAGAAAGCCAAAAGAAAAUGGAGUGAUCCUAUUAGUUGAAGGUAUAUGGUUUCGUCGUGGAAUUGCUGUUGGUUGAUUACUGGAAUGUGUAAAUUUUUGAAUGGGAAAAAGUCACUUCUCAGUUUUUGAUUUGUUUCGAAUAUACUUUACUGAGUUUUAGCGAAGUAAAAAAUUUGAAAGAGUGGAAUAAAAUUAUGUUUGAGUCAUUCAGAACUUCCCUCGCAGCGGGCUCGUCAUUGAAACUGAUAGACAGAGAAUACAAAGGAAAAAUGAAGCAAUUCUAUUAGUCGAAGCUAAAUGGUCUCAUCGUGGAUGCAGGGAGCAUAGUAGACUUUGCUCUCUUGGUUUCAAGAUGUCUCACUUUUGACAUCCAUGAUGCGAUACUAGCAUAUUACCCUUGUUUGUUGGUGUAAUUGAACGUAUUUUUGCCCCCCCCCCCAAAAAAAAAAACAUGUCUCACGCAAUUCUUAUGCACAUAGCUCUUUUUACCAUAAAUACGGCCAAUUAUUCUGGGUGGCGGUAGCCACUCCGGCCCAAUCCUAAAAAACUUCCCCUAAAAAUUUGACGUCCUUAAAAAAAAAAAAGAAAAAAAAAAAGACGGGUGGCUGCUGCCUAACUAGUUAUACACGAAGAAACGCAAUCGGGCUUUUCUGCACGGUUUGCGGCCCAUUUGGCUCUUCUGCUAAUUAUGUCGUGAAGUAAAGCCCAAAAAAAACCCUAUAAUAUUUGGGUAGAGUAUGCUCAGCUCUACUCGUAAUGCCCACCCUUUUUAAGUUUAGUUAAAUAUUAAAAAAGUUAUUAAGCUUUAACGACAAAUUUUGGACCCCGAAACAUGACGAUGAUGGAAUUGACCAAUCACUGAGCAUAUUGAGGGCAGAUUCGGGGCCCGCGAAACGCUCGGCGCCGGGAGACGGUUGUGUGUUUUUCAAUCGACUUACAGCUGUAACCGUAGAAAAAAACCCUAAAAAACUAUAGAUAUUUUGAAACUACUAAUUAUAAUUAUCAGGGGACACUAAGAAUCAAGAAACGAAAGCAUGUGCAAGGUCUGCCAAAUUUCCUUGCAAAAUGUUCCCUUGUUUUCGUAGGGCAGAGAAAAUUACGGGAAUGCCUAAGGAGUGUGAGAGUCAAGUCAAGUAGUUUUUUUUUGUUUGUUUUGUUUUUUUUUUGUUUGUUUGGAGAAAGUAAACAUAUAAAGGGGUAGGCAGACAAGGCUGCUAUGUGCAGUAUUCGCUUUUUCAAGAAAUAUUGUAUCAAAGUUUUUUUAAAAAUUCACCGAGCCUCAUGGUUGAAUUAGAGUUCGAACUCACUUUUGGAUGGUGAAAAAUUGGAAUUUGGUACUGAAUUUUGACAGAAGUUAUUUUAAGCUAGUUUAAGUUGAAAUCAUUCAUAAGUAUGUGACUUUUUUCAAAAACUGCAUAAAUGCUUCAGUUCUCCAAACCCUUCGUUAAAAAUAAUUGUGAAAUAAAUUGAGAUUUUGUAUUUUCUGAAAAGGAUAGAGUUGCACAAUCUUAGCAACAUUGCAGUGCUCCUGGUUCCUUUUUAAUAUAAAAUGUAAUCCAAAUAACAGUGAAAUAAAUUGGGACCUUUGCUUCUGGUCCAUUACUAUGACUAAAUCACUUUUCUAAUAGUCAAGACGAGACAAGAGAAAAACCUGCUUAUCUAUAAACAAUUGUUGUUUUACACCGUAAAAACUGUAAAUUUAACAAAAAAUUAGCAUGUAAAUUUCAUAUUUUUGCAUCAUUUCAGUACUUUUAUUGCAAAGGAUUAAGUUGCACAAUCUUAGCAACAUUGCAAUGCUCAUGGUUCCUUUAUGCGAAAUGAAAUCCAUACAAUAAUGGUGAAAUAUAUUGGGACUCUGUCUUCUGGUCCAUCACUAUGAUUGAAUCGCUGUUCUAGCAGUCAAAAGACAGAGUCAAGAAGGUUAGCUCUAGCUUGUAAGCUGCAGGUGCUGCCGUCUUUAAGAUCGAAGAUAAAAAAAUUUAACCUCUGCAUUUUUUUCCUUCUUUUCAGAAUCAGCAUAAAAUAUCAGAAACUGAUGGUGUUCAAAAAAUCAGAAACUCAAAACGCUCGCCAGUGACUUCUAGAAAAGAAAAAUCACCAGUGACUUCUAGAAAAGAAAAAUCACCAGUGACUUCUAGAAAAGAAAAAUCACCAGUGACUUGUCAAAUCGAAAAAAACAAAGUGGAUUCUGUAAGUUUUUUUUGAACAUAAUAGUUGACGAAAAUAUCCAAUUCAUCGUUCACAGACGGCUUGUCACUGUAUGGUCAAACACUCGAGCUGUUAGCGGGCAAAAAUGUUGAUAUUAGUUUUGUCGACACGAUAAAUAGACCAGGGCUACGUAUGUUUCUAGGAAUGGGACGAACGGUGUCAUUGACAACUUUUUUUGGAGGUACAAAAUAACAGCAAUAUAUUUUUUUAUAAAUCAUCUGCGUUGUUCAAACUUGACAGAGCGGGAUUUCCUGUGUCAAAAACGGCGGCGGCGACUCGGUCAUCGAAAAUCUAUGAGCGACCAGUUUAAUGAGCAGUAGACGAGAGUCAUAAAUGCAUUUAUUGUCGUAAAAUUUAACAUUUAUUGCGGAAAAAUUAGAUGUUUACCGAAAAUAAUACUUAAAACAGGUAAAAGUCUCUGCUUUGUUUAUGCCCCACUUUUCUGUGCGAGACGCUAAAAAAAUGACCCGAUUUACGAGUUAAUUUUUCGUGUCUGUUUAUCUAUGAGCAAAAAACAGUUCACACGGUCAGACCUCCAUG
rnacentral:lncRNA from 1 species